AACUUAAAGGAAUUGACGGGGGCCCGCACAAGCGGUGGAGCACGUGGUUUAAUUCGAAGCAACGCGAAGAACCUUACCAGGCCUUGACAUGCAGAGAACUUUCCAGAGAUGGAUUGGUGCCUUCGGGAACUCUGACACAGGUGCUGCAUGGCUGUCGUCAGCUCGUGUCGUGAGAUGUUGGGUUAAGUCCCGUAACGAGCGCAACCCUUGUCCUUAGUUACCAGCACGUUAUGGUGGGCACUCUAAGGAGACUGCCGGUGACAAACCGGAGGAAGGUGGGGAUGACGUCAAAUCAGCACGGCCCUUACGUCCAGGGCUACACACGUGUUACAAUGGCCAGUACAGAGGGCAGCCACCCCGCGAGGGGGCGCUAAUCCUAAAAGCUGGUCCCAGUUCGGAUCGGAGUCUGCAACCCGACUCCGUGAAGCUGGAUUCGCUAGUAAUCGCGCAUCAGCCACGGCGCGGUGAAUACGUUCCCGGGCCUU
rnacentral:rRNA from 1 species